rnacentral:rRNA from 1 species
UACGGGGGGGGCAAGCGUCGUUCGGAAUUACUGGGCGUAAAGGGCUCGUAGGCGGCCAACUAAGUCGGAUGUGAAAUCCCCAAGCUUAACUUGGGAACUGCAUCCGAUACUGGAUGGCUUGAAUCCGGGAGAGGGAUGCAGAAUUCCAGGUGUAGCGGUGAAAUGCGUAGAUAUCGAGAGGAACACCUGCGGCGAAGGCGGGUUGCUGGGCUGACACUGACGCUGAUGCGCGAAAGCCAGGGGAGCGAACGGG